GUAAAAAUUUUAUAAGAAUAUGAUGUUGGUUCAGAUUAAGCGCUAAAUAAGGACAUGACACAUGCGAAUCAUACGUUUAUUAUUGAUAAGAUAAUAAAUAUGUGGUGUAAACGUGAGUAAUUUUAUUAGGAAUUAAUGAACUAUAGAAUAAGCUAAAUACUUAAUAUAUUAUUAUAUAAAAAUAAUUUAUAUAAUAAAAAGGAUAUAUAUAUAAUAUAUAUUUAUCUAUAGUCAAGCCAAUAAUGGUUUAGGUAGUAGGUUUAUUAAGAGUUAAACCUAGCCAACGAUCCAUAAUCGAUAAUGAAAGUUAGAACGAUCACGUUGACUCUGAAAUAUAGUCAAUAUCUAUAAGAUACAGCAGUGAGGAAUAUUGGACAAUGAUCGAAAGAUUGAUCCAGUUACUUAUUAGGAUGAUAUAUAAAAAUAUUUUUAUUUUAUUUAUAAAUAUUAAAUAUUUAUAAUAAUAAUAAUAAUAUAUAUAUAUAAAUUGAUUAAAAAUAAAAUCCAUAAAUAAUUAAAAUAAUGAUAUUAAUUACCAUAUAUAUUUUUAUAUGGAUAUAUAUAUUAAUAAUAAAAUUAAUUUAUUAUUAUUAAUAAUAUAUUUUAAUAGUCCUGACUAAUAUUUGUGCCAGCAGUCGCGGUAACACAAAGAGGGCGAGCGUUAAUCAUAAUGGUUUAAAGGAUCCGUAGAAUGAAUUAUAUAUUAUAAUUUAGAGUUAAUAAAAUAUAAUUAAAGAAUUAUAAUAGUAAAGAUGAAAUAAUAAUAAUAAUUAUAAGACUAAUAUAUGUGAAAAUAUUAAUUAAAUAUUAACUGACAUUGAGGGAUUAAAACUAGAGUAGCGAAACGGAUUCGAUACCCGUGUAGUUCUAGUAGUAAACUAUGAAUACAAUUAUUUAUAAUAUAUAUUAUAUAUAAAUAAUAAAUGAAAAUGAAAGUAUUCCACCUGAAGAGUACGUUAGCAAUAAUGAAACUCAAAACAAUAGACGGUUACAGACUUAAGCAGUGGAGCAUGUUAUUUAAUUCGAUAAUCCACGACUAACCUUACCAUAUUUUGAAUAUUAUAAUAAUUAUUAUAAUUAUUAUAUUACAGGCGUUACAUUGUUGUCUUUAGUUCGUGCUGCAAAGUUUUAGAUUAAGUUCAUAAACGAACAAAACUCCAUAUAUAUAAUUUUAAUUAUAUAUAAUUUUAUAUUAUUUAUUAAUAUAAAGAAAGGAAUUAAGACAAAUCAUAAUGAUCCUUAUAAUAUGGGUAAUAGACGUGCUAUAAUAAAAUGAUAAUAAAAUUAUAUAAAAUAUAUUUAAUUAUAUUUAAUUAAUAAUAUAAAACAUUUUAAUUUUUAAUAUAUUUUUUUAUUAUAUAUUAAUAUGAAUUAUAAUCUGAAAUUCGAUUAUAUGAAAAAAGAAUUGCUAGUAAUACGUAAAUUAGUAUGUUACGGUGAAUAUUCUAACUGUUUCGCACUAAUCACUCAUCACGCGUUGAAACAUAUUAUUAUCUUAUUAUUUAUAUAAUAUUUUUUAAUAAAUAUUAAUAAUUAUUAAUUUAUAUUUAUUUAUAUCAGAAAUAAUAUGAAUUAAUGCGAAGUUGAAAUACAGUUACCGUAGGGGAACCUGCGGUGGGCUUAUAAAUAUCUUAAAUAUUCUUACA
rnacentral:ncRNA from 2 species